CUUCCAUCCAAAAGGUCUUAAGGCUCAGUGACUCUCGGGGCCGGCGGGAGACGAAGGGCGGCGGCGAGGCUGCCCCGGCCCCGCUGUCACCGGCCGCCCGGGGCAGAGUCCCGCGGGGCGAAUCCUCGGGCGACGCCGGCGGCGAGUCGAUUCGCGGCCGGCCUCGCCGCCGUCGCGCGGCCGGGCGCUGCCGGCGGCGGCCGCUACGGCCGGGGCACCGCCGGGCACGGAGCGCCGCCGGCCGCCGCCGCCUCGGCCCCCUCUUCCUGCGGCCGCCGGCGGCCGCGCUCGGGGCGCAGUCACGCGGAGCACCGCGGAGAAGCCGCCGCUUCGCUCAGCACCUCGGAGCCCGCCGCCGCGCUCCCGCUCCGCAUCCCCCGUCCUCCGCGCACCGGCGGCGGCGCCUCCGGCCGCGCGUCUGCCGGCCGCUCUCCCGCGCGCGCCGCUGCCGCCCGAGCCCCGCUCAGCGCCGCGUCUCCAUCGCCAGCGCGGGGGCGGGCGCAGGGAAAGGGGCGGGGGCGGGGGCGGCCCCGGCCGCCCGCGCGCCCGCGCCCCCUAGGUGGAGCCCGAGCGCCCGCCCCGCCCCGCCGGAGCCCGGAUGUGCCGCGGGGAUGCCGGCGGGGCGUUCGGCUCUCCCCGGGCACCCGCGUUGUGUGGAGGUGCGAGGGCGGAGGUGUCUCCCGGCGACUUUGCCUCCGCCGUUUGGUGAGCGCUGCCCGCCUGCGCGUCGGCAGUGGGUGUGCCAGCUGUCACCUGGGGAUCCGUCAGCAAAUGAAAGCAUCCCACUGCAUCCACGGCGAGCACCGAGUACCCCCCCCCUUGGGGACGGGGCCCACUGCAGCAUCGAUGCGUUAGAUGUGCAUCCUGUAAUGAGUGCUUUUAGAGCGUGAGUGCUUAAUAAAGCUAAAAAGCCGCUCCAGAAACCAAAUGAGGAAAAUUCUUUAACGCUUGAAUUCUGGGAGCUGCUUUAUCUUUCCCUACUCUUAAAUGCAGCUUUGUUAAUGUUACAGAUCAAAGUUUAUAAGCUCUCUUUGCAAAAUGUAACUAGCAAACAAAGUUUUCGUGAAGGAAAUAAGUAACUUGAACACAGGUGUCCCUCCCUGGACAGCCUGUGCCACCGCCUCGCUGCUCUUUCUGAGAAGAGAUUUCUCCAAUUACCCAACCUGAACCCAUCCUGGCACAACUUACGGCCGUUACCUUUUAUCCUAUCACUGCUACCUGGGAGAAGAGGCUGACCUCCACCUCUUCACAACCUCCCUUCAGGUAGUUGUAGAGAGCUAUAAGGUCUCCGCUGAGCCUCCUGUUCUCCAGACUGAACAAUCCCAGUUCCCUCAGCAGCUCUCCGUAAGGCCUGUGCUCCAGAUCCCUCACAGUUUCGUUGCCCUUCUCUGAACACACUCCAGGGCCUCGCCGUCUUUCUUGUAGUGAGGGGCCCAAAAUGAAACACGGCACUGAAGGUGCAGCCUCACCAGUGCUGAGUACAGAGGGACGAUCACCUCGCUGCUCCUGCUGGCUGCACUAUUCCUGACACAACCCAGGAUGCCAUUGGCCUUCUUGGCCAGCUGGCCAACAGCAGGAAGGAAAAAAAUAAAAGGUGUUCAGACAAAUCAG
rnacentral:lncRNA from 1 species